UACGUAGGGUGCAAGCGUUAAUCGGAAUUACUGGGCGUAAAGCGUGCGCAGGCGGCUAUGCAAGACAGAUGUGAAAUCCCCGGGCUCAACCUGGGAACUGCAUUUGUGACUGCAUGGCUAGAGUGCGGCAGAGGGGGAUGGAAUUCCGCGUGUAGCAGUGAAAUGCGUAGAUAUGCGGAGGAACACCGAUGGCGAAGGCAAUCCCCUGGGCCUGCACUGACGGCUCAUGCACGAAAGCGUGGGGAGCAAACAGG
rnacentral:rRNA from 1 species